AUCAUGGAGAGUUUGAUCCUGGCUCAGGAUGAACGCUGGCGUCAUGCUUAACACAUGCAAGUCGAACGGAAUUAUUGUAGGUUAAACCCUUUAGUAAUUUAGUGGCGGACGGGUGAGUAACGCGUAAGAACCUACCUCAUGGCGAGGGAUACCAAUUGGAAACGAUUGCUAAUACCUCAUACGCUGAGAAGUGAAAGAUAUAAUUGUCACCAAGAGAGGGGCUUGCGUCUGAUUAGUUAGUUGGUGGGGUAAAUGCCUACCAAGGCAAUGAUCAGUAGUUGGUUUGAGAGGACGAUCAGCCACACUGGGACUGAGACACGGCCCAGACUUCUACGGGAGGCAGCAGUGAGGAAUUUUCCGCAAUGGGCGAAAGCCUGACGGAGCAAUGUCGCGUGGAGGAAGAAGGCUCGUGGGUUGUAAACUCCUUUUGUCAAAGAAGAAUAAAUGACGGUAUUU
rnacentral:rRNA from 1 species